UACAGCGGGAAGCGGAGCCACGCGGCUCCUGCUGCAUCCCGGUUUGGCAUCCUCAGCAUUAUGGACGGAUUCUGAUUGCAUCCAGCUACCCAGGCAGAGGGGUCCUUGGAGGAGCAGCAUUCCUCGCGGAAUUUCCCGGAGGUGUCGUAGAGCUUGGCGAGGACGGCCUCGGGGAGGUUGGGAUACCUCCGGGCCACCUCGAACAGGAACCUGGAGCGGGAAACGGGAGAGCUCAGCAGGAGGCGAGGCGCUCGUCCCGCUCCGACAGCGCUGAGCAGACUCUGGCCGUGUGCUCCAAGAGCUGCAGAGAGGGAGCAGGGCCUGUGCAGGAGCCCUCAGCCCCCUGAGCUCCUGCUGGAGCUGCUUCGGGCUGGGCUCCAGCCCCCCCCCACCUUCUUCUGCAUGCAGUCCUCGGCCAUGGAGUCACAGCACUGGCAAGCCACUUCGGCAGCAUCCUCGGCCAGGGGCAGCAGCUCCUCGAAGGAGGCAUUGGGAAUCUUCUGGGCCAGAGAGGUCAGGGAGCUGGGGAGCACAGGGAUCUGCAGCAGGAGAGAGGAGCCCUGUCCCAGGAUGGAGAGCCCAUUUCCCCCCAUACCUGAAGCUGGCUUUGUCCUUGCCGUAGGCC